UCGAGAAUCUUCCGCAAUGGGCGCAAGCCUGACGGAGCGAUGCCGCGUGAGGGAUGAAGGCCUUCGGGUUGUAAAGCCCUUUUGUUGGGAAAGAAAAGCAGCCGGCCAAUACCCGGUUGUUCUGACGGUACCCAAAGAAUAAGCCACGGCUAACUUCGUGCCAGCAGCCGCGGUAAUACGAAGGUGGCAAGCGUUACUCGGAAUUACUAGGCGUAAAGGGAGCAUAGGCGGACUUUUAAGUGAGAUGUGAAAUACCCGGGCUCAACUUGGGUGCUGCAUUUCAAACUGGAAGUCUAGAGUGCAGGAGAGGAGAAUGGAAUUCCUAGUGUAGCGGUGAAAUGCGUAGAGAUUAGGAAGAACACCAGUGGCGAAGGCGGUUCUCUGGGACGGUACUGACGCUGAGACGCGAAAGCGUGGGGAGCGAACA
rnacentral:rRNA from 1 species